GACGAACGCUGGCGGCGCGCUUAACACAUGCAAGUCGAGCGAGAACCAGUCCUUCGGGACUGGGGACAGCGGCGAACGGGUGAGUAACACGUGGGUAAUCUGCCCUCGGCACCGGAAUAGCCCGGGGAAACCCGGAUUAAUGCCGGAUGGCCUCUCUGCCCCUCGGGGCGGCGAGAAAAGGUAGCUUCGGCCUCCGGCCGAGGAUGAGCCCGCGGCCGAUUAGCUUGUUGGUGAGGUAACGGCUCACCAAGGCGACGAUCGGUAGCUGGUCUGAGAGGACGAUCAGCCACACUGGGACUGAGACACGGCCCAGACUCCUACGGGAGGCAGCAGUGGGGAAUCUUGCGCAAUGGGCGAAAGCCUGACGCAGCGACGCCGCGUGCGGGAAGAAGGCCUUCGGGUUGUAAACCGCUUUCAGGAGGGACGAAGCCACUCGGGUUAAUAGCCCAGAGGGUGACGGUACCUCCAGAAGAAGCCCCGGCUAACUACGUGCCAGCCGCCGCUGUAAUAC
rnacentral:rRNA from 1 species